rnacentral:rRNA from 1 species
UACGUAGGGUGCGAGCGUUAAUCGGAAUUACUGGGCGUAAAGCGUGCGCAGGCGGUUAUUUAAGUCAGGUGUGAAAGCCCUGGGCUUAACCUAGGAAUUGCGCUUGAGACUGGAUAGCUUGGAGUGCGGCAGAGGGAGGUGGAAUUCCACGUGUAGCAGUGAAAUGCGUAGAGAUGUGGAGGAACACCGAUGGCGAAGGCAGCCUCCUGGGCCAGCACUGACGCUCAGUGCACGAAAGCGUGGGGAGCAAACAGG